AACCUUGUUGAUUGUUGCUCUCUCAGGAGUUGCUUCCUGCUGAUAAAGGCCCAGUGUACCUCCGCUUCUCUGGUGUGCAAAAACAUCUUCGUUUUCAACAUCAUCAGGAGGCAGAUACCAUUACAAAGGAGGAAACUGAGGCACGCACAGCUGGAUCACUCACCACCAACCCACAAGCAAGUCAGAGCAAUAGCUAGAAGACCAGAGCGACCCAGUGGUCAGAGGAACAGUGGCCAGGGCUGGGACAGAAUCCGAUCUGUCCGGUCUGGCUGAUGUCAGUUUUCGGGGGACCUGGCACCAGGAGCAGGGAAUGGGACGGAAACUUCAGGGCAUCCAUACGUUGGGGAAGUCCCAGUAGAUAAUACAGCAAUGCCAGAAGUGGCAUCCAACCAUGGGGAAAGCAGAUAAAGGCCACUGCUGUGGUUUAACAGGAUUCCGCUGCACCCACUUGACAUCCUGCUGCAGAUGGACCUAAGACUUCAUUCACGUUAGACCAACACUCUAUCAAGAGAGCUAUGUUUGAAGGCCCUAAGGCAGAGACUCCUGCAAGGGGGGUUUCGGAGGGAUUGCUCUUUGGAGGAAGCCUUGUGAGGAAGUGAGAAGGGACAUUUCUACACAGAGGAGGACAGGGUGUGCUGUAAACGGUGUGAGACGUCCCUUUGACGAAUUUCCGGCUUCAUCGUCUCGUCUCGGCUGACACGACAGAGUCUCCUUCAUAGAAGGUACAAGUGAACCAGAACUCGAGGGAGUGGGGAGACGGCG